AUUGAACGCUGGCGGCAGGCCUAACACAUGCAAGUCGAACGGUAACAGGAAGAAGCUUGCUUCUUUGCUGACGAGUGGCGGACGGGUGAGUAAUGUCUGGGAAACUGCCUGAUGGAGGGGGAUAACUACUGGAAACGGUAGCUAAUACCGCAUAACGUCGCAAGCCCAAAGAGGGGGACCUUCGGGCCUCUUGCCAUCGGAUGUGCCCAGAUGGGAUUAGCUAGUAGGUGGGGUAACGGCUCACCUAGGCGACGAUCCCUAGCUGGUCUGAGAGGAUGACCAGCGACACUGGAACGGGGACACGGUCCAGACUCCUACGGGAGGCAGCAGUGGGGAAUAUUGCACAAUGGGCGCAAGCAUGAUGCAGCCAUGCCGCGUGUAUGGAGGAGGCCUUCGGGUUGUAAAGUACUUUCAGCGGGGAGGAAGGGAGUAAAGUUAAGACCUUUGCUCAUUGACGUUACCCGCAGAAGAAGCACCGGCUAACUCCGUG
rnacentral:rRNA from 1 species